GUAUCGACAAUGCUGUGCACCACCCCACCACCCCUCUCUGGAAUUCUUUGCUUUCAAAACCCAGCUACCCUUUAAGCACCAGGUCUCCACCUCCCACUCCCCAGCCCCCAUUGCCACCACCCUGCUUUCAGUCUUUGGGCUGUGACUGCUGGAGCCGUGUAACAGGUUAGUGGAAUCACAUGGGGUCUGUCUUUUGGUGAGGGACUCAUUUCACUUUAGUUUAACAUCUUAAAAGCUCAUUUAUGUUGUUGCAUGUGUUAGAACCUCUUUCCUGUAUAGGCCCAGGGAUACUCCACUGCACAGGGACACCUUCACUGCUGACUGCUGGCUUCUGUGAGUAGUGCUGCCAGGGACACAGGUGAUAAUAUCAGUUGUGCCCCUGCUUUCAGUUCUUCUGGAUAUACACCCAUAAGUGGAACUGUGGAAUCCUAUGCUAAUUCUACCUUUUUUUUUUUUUUUUUUUUCAUACAGAAGAAUGAACCCAAGGGCACUUAAUUAUUAUGCCAUAUCUCCAGACCUUUUCAUUGAGAUGGGUUGUUUUUCUGCUCUUGAGGAGAGACAGCUCUGAGCUCACCAGCAGCUGGAAGAAUGAGUGAAUGAAUGAUGGGAAGCAGUCUGACUGCAUCUUCUGAAGACUGAAAGCAAAGGUAGAGAAACAAGCUCCCCUGGAGACGGCUAGCCACAAGUACAGCAGUGCUGUUAACCUGGGCGACAGCAGAAGCCAGCUGCUGAGGCGACAGAUGACCUGGUCAGAGGGACCGACUGACAGAGUUGCCGUACAGCCAGGAGAGCUGCUAAUUAUCCCAAAUAAAGUCGCAGGUUUUCAUGAGGUCUGGCUCUCAGGCUUUUCCCCCCUGUGUUUACAGACAAUAAC
rnacentral:lncRNA from 1 species